UCCUACGGGAGGCAGCAGUAGGGAAUCUUCCGCAAUGGACGAAAGUCUGACGGAGCAACGCCGCGUGAGUGAUGAAGGCUUUCGGGUCGUAAAACUCUGUUGUUAGGGAAGAACAAGUGCUAGUUGAAUAAGCUGGCACCUUGACGGUACCUAACCAGAAAGCCACGGCUAACUACGUGCCAGCAGCCGCGGUAAUACGUAGGUGGCAAGCGUUGUCCGGAAUUAUUGGGCGUAAAGGGCUCGCAGGCGGUUUCUUAAGUCUGAUGUGAAAGCCCCCGGCUCAACCGGGGAGGGUCAUUGGAAACUGGGAAACUUGAGUGCAGAAGAGGAGAGUGGAAUUCCACGUGUAGCGGUGAAAUGCGUAGAGAUGUGGAGGAACACCAGUGGCGAAGGCGACUCUCUGGUCUGUAACUGACGCUGAGGAGCGAAAGCGUGGGGAGCGAACAGGAUUAGAUACCCUGGUAGUCCACGCCGUAAACGAUGAGUGCUAAGUGUUAGGGGGUUUCCGCCCCUUAGUGCUGCAGCUAACGCAUUAAGCACUCCGCCUGGGGAGUACGGUCGCAAGACUGAAACUCAAAUGAAUUGACGGA
rnacentral:rRNA from 1 species